rnacentral:misc_RNA from 1 species
CUCAGGCUCUGAUUUUGCUUUCAUUAACUGAAUUGAGUCCCUUUCAAUCCCACCAUCAACUGCAAUAUCUUUACCAGACUGAUUUGCAGCAUUCACUGAAUCUGACUUCGAUUUCCUCAAUUGGGCACCAGAUUCAACAAGUUCUUUUAUAUCAGAUCUUGGCUUUCUUAUCUGAACUGGGCUUUUCGCAUUUCCAUCAGCAGAAACACCGAUCUCCUCGGAUCUUCCUUUCUUGCCCUGAAUUGGGCUUUUAUCAAUUCCAUCCACAGAAACACUAAGCUCUUUGAUUCCUUCAGACCUUCCUCUUCUUGCUGGAAUUGAGCUUUUCUUGAUUCCAUCAGCAGAAACAAUCAACUCUCUACACUGUUCCUCACAAUUCUUGAUUGGUAGAGGCUCAGUUUUCCCUUUAGCUAUCUGAAUUGGGCCAUCAAAACUCUCAGACUUCCAAGUCUUUCUCUUGGCAGUGGCAGCCACUGAAGUACCAGAUUGGCCUCUCUUAAGAAAUUUCCUUGAAGUAUCAGCAGUCUCAUCAUGGUUUCCAUCUCCAUUGAAAACCUUGAUACCACCUUUGACUUCAUCAAGCUUCAUUCUACUCUCCCAGACAGAGCCUGCAACCACACUAGUUUUAACCCCAGCUCUUCUCCUGCUGACAUCCAUUGUAUCCUUUUUAAUCUAGGUACUCUCUGUCCGCUAUCUUUCUUUGUGGUAAUUGAGUACUACUGGGACAUAGGUGUUAAUAACACUGGAUAAGAGUCUUUAAGCGGAAGAAAUGGCGUUUGGUGAUGAUGUGAGAGACACUUGAGGAAUCCCUUCUGCUUU